rnacentral:rRNA from 1 species
CUACGGAGGGUGCAAGCGUUAUCCGGAAUCAUUGGGUUUAAAGGGUCCGUAGGCGGACUAUUAAGUCAGAGGUGAAAUCCCACAGCUCAACUGUGGAACUGCCUUUGAUACUGGUAGUCUUGAGUUAUAUGGAAGUAGAUAGAAUGUGUAGUGUAGCGGUGAAAUGCAUAGAUAUUACACAGAAUACCGAUUGCGAAGGCAGUCUACUACGUAUAUGCUGACGCUAAGGGACGAAAGCGUGGGGAGCGAACAGGAUUAGAAACCCUAGUAGUCC